GGUGAGAUGGCCGAGUGGUCUAAGGCGCCAGAUUUAGGAGCAGGCUUUGGCUUCUGAAUAUUCCUCUCUGGUCCGAAAGGGCAUGGGUUCAAAUCCCAUUCUCAUCA